CAGCAGGCGCGAAAACUUUACAAUGCUGGCAACAGCGAUAAGGGGACCUCGAGUGCCAGGAUACAAUCUUGGCUGUCGCGAUGCCUAAAAAGCAUUGCAUAGCAAGGGCCGGGCAAGACCGGUGCCAGCCGCCGCGGUAACACCGGCGGCUCGAGUGGUAACCGCUAUUAUUGGGUCUAAAGGGUCUGUAGCCGGCCGGAUAAGUCUUUUGGGAAAUCCAGCUGCUCAACAGUUGGGCUUUCAGAAGAUACUGUUCGGCUCGAGACCGGGAGAGGUGAGAGGUACUUCAGGGGUAGGGGUGAAAUCUUGUAGUCCUUGAAGGACCACCAGUGGCGAAGGCGUCUCACCAGAACGGAUCUGACGGCAAGGGACGAAAGCUAGGGGCACGAACCGGAUUAGAUACCCGGGUAGUCCUAGCCGUAAACGAUACUCGCUAGGUGUCAGCCACGGUGCGACCGUGGUUGGUGCCGUAGGGAAGCCGUGAAGCGAGCCACCUGGGAAGUACGGCCGCAAGGCUGAAACUUAAAGGAAUUGGCGGGGGAGCAC
rnacentral:rRNA from 1 species